UACGUAGGGGGCAAGCGUUGUCCGGAUUUAUUGGGCGUAAAGAGCGUGUAGGCGGCCAGGUAGGUCCGCUGUGAAAACUCGAGGCUCAACCUCGAGAUGUCGGCGGAAACCAUCUGGCUAGAGUCCGGAAGAGGAAAGUGGAAUUCCCGGUGUAGCGGUGAAAUGCGCAGAUAUCGGGAAGAACACCCGUGGCGAAGGCGGCCAGCUGGGCCAGAUCCGACACUGAGGCGCGAAAGCGUGGGGAGCAAACAGG
rnacentral:rRNA from 1 species